GACGUGGGAUGCGAGCGUUAUCCGGAUUUACUGGGCGUAAAGAGUUCGUAGGCGUCUCGUUAAGUUUUGCUUGAAAUUCCGGGGCUUAACCCCGGAGCUGGGCGAAAAACUAAUGAGAUUGAGUUAAUUAGGGGGUACUGGAACUCGUAGUGUAGCAGUGAAAUGCGUUGAUAUUACGAGGAACACCAAGGGCGAAGGCAGGUACCUGGGAUUUAACUGACGCUGAGGAACGAAAGCUAGGGGAG
rnacentral:rRNA from 1 species